GAGUAGGAAGGACGCACCGGUGGCGUUGGAGGCGUCGGACGUCGGUCUGCCUGGAGCCGCCGGUGGUGCAGAUCUUGGUGGUAGUAGCAAAUACUCAAGUGAGACCCUUGAGGGCCAAUGUGGAGAAGGGUUCCAUGUGAACAGCAGUUGAACAUGGGUCAGUCGGUCCUAAGGCAUGCGGAGAAAUCCGUACCAAAGUCCCAGAUGAGAUUCGUUAAGUUGAACACUGGUGGUACUGUGGUAUAUGCCGAAAGGGAAUUGGGUUAAUAUUCCCAAACCUAGUCACGGAGAUAGGCCCUUCGGGGCCCAGUGCGGUAACGCAAGCGAGCUCAGAGACGUCGGUGGGAGCCCUGGGGAGAGUUGUCUUUUCUUUGUAAGGUCUUGAUUCCCUGGAAGCGGUUUACCCGGAGAUAGGGAGGAAAAGACCGUAAAGCACUGCGGCUCUUGCAGUGUCCAGAGUGCUCUCGUCGGCCCGUGAAAAUCUGAGUGAGGUAGUGUUAUUUUCGUGCUAGCCCGUACCCAUAUCCGCAGCAGG
rnacentral:rRNA from 1 species